rnacentral:lncRNA from 1 species
UGCCGAGCCUCUCGAGAGAGCCUCCUCCAACUUCCCCUCCUCACCAAGGAUGAGGACAUGAGGUAGUAAUUGUAGUAUGCAGAAUUACCUACAACUUGAGUAUAUACACGUUAUCCACUUCAUAUUAUUUCCAAUGGUUUUACUUCCACAUCACAUGUUUAUUUAUAUUAAAUCACAAGAACUUCAUGAGCUUGCUUGGUCACCAUGGAGAAGGGCAUUUUUUCAUGGAGCUGUAGAUUUUUUGAAUAUGCUCCCUGUUGGACACUUUUUUGGGUAUGUACAGGAUUUUUUGAGAAUAGGUGUGAAAAAAUUGACCAUCUGGUGGAUUUAUAUGACGGUAUGUUUAGUAGAUAAGUAGAUAAAUAAUGGAACUGCUUUAUUCCUUGUUGUGUACAUUUUUAGAACAUUAUCCUUUUUUGUGUACUGAUUGAAUGAUCUGCUCACACCAUGCAGGUACUCAUACAUAGUGAAAGCAGAGGCCAAAAGGUUUUGAUUUAGAUGAUUUAGUGGUGCCUUGUCAAUCUUCUUACCUCUAGGUCAAAAUUAAGCAGACGAUUUCUUGCUGAAGGACAUGCUCUUAUUCUCUGAGAUGGACAAUGAUGUGUGGUACAACCCAAAAAUCAGAGCUGGGCUUUACACACUUCAGUGGGCAAGUGAAGUCCCAGUUUUUCUUCUUUCCCCCGUUACUUCUCUGUUGUAUAGAGAGCAAUGCGUUUAUAUUAGCUGAAUGUUAGAUUGGAAUGCAGGUACUAGCAUCACAACACUAGGGUGGAGACCUGAAGCGAAGCAGAGGGGCGAACCAAGGAAAUCAGAGUCACGCUAUUUCUAUAUCCUAAUUCUACGCUCUUAUAUUUUUUUACACAUUUACAAUCUUGUGUUUUGAAUAAUUCUUGUGGCUUGACAAGACAGAGUGGAGGAUCAAGGAAUGAAGUCAGAACAAUUUUCUAAUUAAAUAUAUCCAAAGGUUGAUAAUAGGUCGUGUCAAGAUGAGUGCACGAGAAGGAUAGUGAAAAAAAAGGUGAGAAGGGUUCUGAGUAUUCUUUCCUCACUUUUCA